rnacentral:rRNA from 1 species
AGAGUUUGAUUUUGGCUCAGGAUGAACGCUGGCGGCGUGCUUAACACAUGCAAGUCGAGCGAAGCAUUUCGGAUGAAGUUUUCGGAUGGAUUCUGAAAUGACUGAGCGGCGGACGGGUGAGUAACGCGUGGAUAACCUGCCUCAUACAGGGGGAUAACAGUUAGAAAUGACUGCUAAUACCGCAUAAGCGCACAGGACCGCAUGGUCUGGUGUGAAAAACUCCGGUGGUAUGAGAUGGGUCCGCGUUGGAUUAGGCAGUUGGCGGGGUAACGGCCCACCAAACCGACGAUCCAUAGCCGGCCUGAGAGGGUGGACGGCCACAUUGGGACUGAGACACGGCCCAAACUCCUACGGGAGGCAGCAGUGGGGAAUAUUGCACAAUGGGGGAAACCCUGAUGCAGCGACGCCGCGUGAGUGAAGAAGUAUUUCGGUAUGUAAAGCUCUAUCAGCAGGGAAGAAAAUGACGGUACCUGACUAAGAAGCCCCGGCUAACUACGUGCCAGCAGCCGCGGUAAUACGUAGGGGGCAAGCGUUAUCCGGAUUUACUGGGUGUAAAGGGAGCGUAGACGGCUGUGCAAGUCUGAUGUGAAAGGCAGGGGCUCAACUCCUGGACUGCAUUGGAAACUGUGUAGCUUGAGUGCCGGAGAGGUAAGCGGAAUUCCUAGUGUAGCGGUGAAAUGCGUAGAUAUUAGGAGGAACACCAGUGGCGAAGGCGGCUUACUGGACGGUAACUGACGUUGAGGCUCGAAAGCGUGGGGAGCAAACAGGAUUAGAUACCCUGGUAGUCCACGCCGUAAACG